rnacentral:rRNA from 1 species
GACGUAGGGCGCGAGCGUUGUCCGGAUUUAUUGGGCGUAAAGGGCGCGUAGGCGGCCUCCGCAAGUCAGUUGUGAAAUCUCCGAGCUUAACUCGGAAAGGUCAACUGAUACUGCGGGGCUAGAGUGCGGGAAGGGGCAACUGGAAUUCUUGGUGUAGCGGUGAAAUGCGUAGAUAUCAAGAGGAACACCUGCGGCGAAGGCGGGUUGCUGGGCCGACACUGACGCUGAGGCGCGAAAGCUAGGGGAGCGAACGGG